CGGGUGAGUAACACGUAUGCAACCUGCCUGCCACAGCCGGAUAAUCGGGAGAAAUUCCGUCUAAUACGGCAUAAUGCAUCGACGGGACAUCCUGUUGGUGCCAAAGGUUAAUUCCGGUGGCGGAUGGGCAUGCGUCGCAUUAGUUAGUUGGCGGUGCAACGGACCACCAAGACGACGAUGCGUAGGGGUUCUGAGAGGAAGGUCCCCCACACUGGUACUGAGACACGGACCAGACUCCUACGGAAGGCAGCAG
rnacentral:rRNA from 1 species